AGAGUUUGAUCAUGGCUCAGGACGAACGCUGACGGUGUGCUUUAGGCAUGCAAGUCGAACGAGAAAGCCCUUCGGGGUGAGUAGAGUGGCGAACGGGUGAGUAACACGUGGGCAACCUGCCCCUCGCAGGGGGAUAACCGGAGGAAACUCCGGCUAAUACCCCGUAAGCUUUCAGGGUCGCAUGGCCCUGUAAGGAAAGGUAGCUUCGGCCAUCCGGCGAGGGAUGGGCCCGCGGUGCAUUAGCUAGUUGGUGGGGUAACGGCCCACCAAGGCGACGAUGCGUAGCUGGUCUGAGAGGAUGAUCAGCCACACUGGGACUGAGACACGGCCCAGACUCCUACGGGAGGCAGCAGCCAGGAAUCUUGGGCAAUGGGCGAAAGCCUGACCCAGCAACACCGUGUGGGCGAUGAAGGCCUUCGGGUCGUAAAGCCCUGUUGAUAGGGACGAAGGGCGAAGGGUUAAUAGCCCCUAGCCUGACGGUACCUUUCGAGGAAGCCCCGGCUAACUACGUGCCAGCAGCCGCGGUAAUACGUAGGGGGCGAGCGUUGUCCGGAAUUAUUGGGCGUAAAGAGCGUGUAGGCGGUUCGGUAAGUCUGCCGUGAAAACCUGAGGCUCAACCUCGGGCGUGCGGUGGAUACUGCCGGGCUAGAGGACGGUAGAGGCGAGUGGAAUUCCCGGUGUAGCGGUGAAAUGCGCAGAUAUCGGGAGGAACACCAGUAGCGAAGGCGGCUCGCUGGGCCGUUCCUGACGCUGAGACGCGAAAGCCAGGGGAGCGAACAGGAUUAGAUACCCCAGUAGUCC
rnacentral:rRNA from 1 species